UACGUAGGUGGCAAGCGUUGUCCGGAUUUAUUGGGUUUUAAGGGUGCGUAGGCGGCCCUGUAAGUCAGUGCUGAAAUCCCCCGGCUUAACCGGGGGGGUGGCAUUGAUACUGCAGGGCUUGAGUACAGAAGAGGUAGGCGGAAUUGACGGUGUAGCGGUGAAAUGCAUAGAUAUCGUCAAGAACACCGAUAGCGAAGGCAGCUUACUGGGCUGUAACUGACGCUGAUGCACGAAAGUGUGGGGAUCAAACAGG
rnacentral:rRNA from 1 species